CCUACGGGAGGCAGCAGUGAGGAAUAUUGGUCAAUGGGCGCGAGCCUGAACCAGCCAAGUAGCGUGAAGGAUGACUGCCCUACGGGUUGUAAACUUCUUUUAUAAAGGAAUAACGUGAGGCACGUGUGCCUUUUUGUAUGUACUUUAAGAAUAAGGAUCGGCUAACUCCGUACCAGCAGCCGCGGUAAUACGGAGGAUCCGAGGGUUAUCCGGAUUUAUUGGGUUAAAGGGGUGCGCAGGGGGAUUUUUAAGGCAGCGGUCAAGUCGUGGGGCUCAACCCCGUCCAGCCGUUGAAACUGGGGUUCUAGAGUGUGCGAGAGGUAGACGGAAUGCGUGGUGUAGCGGUGAAAUGCGUAGAUAUCACGCAGAACCCCGAUUGCGAAGGCAGCAUGCCGGAGAACAACUGACGCUCAGGCACGAAAGCGUGGGUAGCGAACAGGAUUAGAUACCCUUGUAGUC
rnacentral:rRNA from 1 species